rnacentral:rRNA from 1 species
CACGUAGGGUGCGAGCGUUUGUCCGGAAUUAUUGGGCGUAAAAGAGCUCGUAGGCGGCUCGGUAAGUCGGACGUGAAACCUCCAGGCUCAACCUGGAGACGCCAUCUGAUACUGCCGUGGCUUGAGUCCGGUAGAGGAGCAGGGAAUUCCUGGUGUAGCGGUGAAAUGCGCAGAUAUCAGGAGGAACACCAGCGGCGAAGGCGCUGCUCUGGGCCGGUACUGACGCUGAGGAGCGAAAGCGUGGGGAGCGAACAGG